rnacentral:rRNA from 1 species
UACGGAGGGUGCAAGCGUUAUCCGGAUUUACUGGGUUUAAAGGGUGCGUAGGCGGACAGGUAAGUCAGUGGUGAAAUCCCCGAGCUCAACUUGGGAACUGCCGUUGAUACUAUCUGUCUUGAAUACCGUGGAGGUGAGCGGAAUAUGUCAUGUAGCGGUGAAAUGCUUAGAUAUGACAUAGAACACCGAUUGCGAAGGCAGCUCACUACGCGGUCAUUGACGCUGAGGUGCGAAAGCGUGGGGAGUAAACAGG